rnacentral:tRNA from 4 species
GCGCCUUUAACUCAGCUGGAUAGAGUAACUGCCUUCUAAGCAGUAAGCCAUUGGUUCGAGUCCAAUAAGGCGCACCA